GAGUAACAUUUGUAAAUGUCUAACGAUGUUCCUUCGACCUCCCUCGUGUUUGCCAACUACUAACAUAUUUGGAGACGCGACGUUAAAUGUUUCAGUAAGUGACCAUAUUUCAAGCGCUAUACACAUAAUAAUUUAUGUCAACGAGAUUCUUAAUCCGCGGCUAUAAACUGACAGUCUAAAUAAAUUCAUCCCACCGAUGUAAAAGGUCGUAAGUGUUGCAGCGAGCAAGAGUCUUGCGACGUUUGUCUACGCGUCUCCCGAAGCCAUAGAUCCCACGCGCCGGCGAGCCCGCGCCAAACUGGUAAAUCGGCUCUUGCGCAACUCGGAGACUACAGUUGGUUUCCAAUUUUAUGUUGACCGGUUUCGAAGUUGUCUUAGCCUUCUAAUUUCGGCUCGUUUAGAUUGGAAAAUACGACGCGGCCCGAAGAUAUCGUACCCAGCGACCAGUUCCAGGUUUGUCAUAUGUUGGAGUGUCCUGCUUAUCCUGUAGCAGCAUGAGCGAGGUGUGAGGACGUUGUGCAGGGUGUAGGGCUGCAGGGAGCCAGCCCACGCGGCCGGUCGGGCGGCGGGAGGCCGCGCACAAAUCAACGCGCACUCGCGCUCGCAGGACCCCCGUUGUCAAGGUAUAUUGUGUGGCGGCCAUCUUUGUUCAGCGGGGCCUCGACCGUGGCGGCCGUCGACCUUGCCUCCGAACCGUGUCAGGAAAAUGCUUUCCUCCUGUUUGCAACGUGUGGCCGAACAGUUUACUCUACUUUCUUAAUUUUAACUUUCUCUUAAAUAUUUCCUUAGAAUAUAGUGAAGUUCUGAGUGACGGGAUGCGUCACGCGGUCGUCACGUCGUCGGCAGACGUCCGGCCGCUGUAGAUGGCGCGGCCAAAUAGAGCAACCUGCGGAGCGGCGCGCCCGCGGCUCGCGGCUCGCAUACAAAGCAGUCCGCUACCAACAAUCGAUACAGAAAGAAAUCCUCACGACGAACAAUGUUUUUGAGACCGCUUGUAAUAUACAGAAUGAAAUGCGUCACAAUAUAUUUUCAUAUUUUAAUCUUUCUGGACAAUUCAAGAUAUAUCUAAAAUGCUGCAAAUAAACUUGUGAUGGUCCACUGCUGCUAGACGUAGGGCCUCGCUUUGGUUUCCUAGUAUACUUUUUUAAAAGGAUUAAACAGUGAAUGCAAUGUUUAUGAAUAUAAAGAAAGUCGUGAUAGUUUUACAUAAUGUAUAUCUCAAGAACGGCUGUGUGGACAGAGAGACGGACUUAAGAAUGUUCUUUAUCACGUUGCCUGAUUUUUUUGAAUACGCAUCGAC